UUGAUUUAUAUACCGAAUCCUAAGUUAAAUUACCAUUACUAUCAUAAAAGUUGCAAAUUUUGAAAAUUGGUGACAUUCUUAGAGCAAUCAAACAAAAAAGUAGCUUAACACCCAAAUCCCUAAUGUUAUCGAUUAUUAUUCGAUACAUAAUCUCCUAUGACAUACUAGUCCACGACACGUUUUUUUGUCAAGUUUAAUUUAAGUGAAUCUUAAUUGCACGUGACAGAUCCACAGAAUGCAACUGCCCUGCAGUUGGUAACAUUCCAUAAUAUUUUCAACACCCUCACAUUUAUUUCUUUUUUAAUAGUAAGAAUAAUCCAUUCUGAGAGCCAAAGGUAGAAAAUUUAGCGGGAUGGCUAAAAAACAUAUUUUAUGUUUUUUGCGAUGCUAAACAUGAUUUUGAUACUUAUUUUUUAAUCAGGACACCAACAAAACACAACAAAAAAUUUAAUUGUUAAUUAAUGCAAAUAACUGGAAAAAUAUUGGUUGUAACCAAUUAUAGCAUUUGUUAUUAGAAAAUGUUUAACACAAAAGGGCCUUAGAUAUGUACUGAAAUUUGCAACGGUUUCAGAUCACAAUGCGCUUUAAUGAAAAAAAAAAAAACGGUAUAAUGGCUAUUUCUACAGUGUGCGAGUGUAAUAUUAUUUGUUUACCAUUUUAAUUAAUUUGUACUUAGUAAAACCGUUGUUUUUAAUGUUAAUUGCAUUAUAAUAAUUAAAUUAUUAGUUGCCUAUGUAAUUAAAAAAAUUAUUUAGAAUAGCUGCAUAUCUGUUUAUAUAUAUGAUAACUUUGCAUCACUGUAAACAUAAUUCAAUUAAAAAAAAAACGGACAGAAGUCAUUAAUAAUAAUAAUAAUCAUACUAUCGUUUAUUUCCUCAGUUCAAAGCACAUAUGCAUGCAUAAAGUUCUCUAACUGAAGAAAAAGUUAUAUUCACAGUUCAUUGUAAAUAAUAUUUUUUUGAUAAAAUGCUGUUUGGUGAGCAUCAGGCAAUAAAAGGUCUCACCUGUGAGUAUUAUAUACCUGGACAGAUCUAUUUGCUUGGAAAAUUGGUUUAUUUUUAUAUACUUAAGUACUUAUUUCAAGAAUGUUAACUUUAAUCAAUGUAAGGAUUUUAUUCUCUUUAAAGUGCGCCCUGCAUGAGUCUAAAUUUAAUAUUACUAAUGAUCGUGAUAGCAUACUUCUGAAUAAGAAAUAUAGUUGAAGCUACAUAUCGCAUGAAGGAAUGAAAAUUGCCAUAAUAUAAAGUUAAAAGAGCUGCUUUACUGCAAUGCUGUGAAAGAAAUUUUAAUACAUAGCAACAAGUUUUUAAUUUAUUGCAAAGAAUAUCUACAUGGUCAAAAGUAAUACCCAAUAGUUUAGAACUGCUUGAUGAACGUAACUCCGUUUGUCUAUUUUUAGAUAAAAUAACAGAAUUUACUGCCUGCCUACUUCGUAAAAAGCCAACAAAAUGAGUUUUAUCCUUGAGAAAUAACUUGUUUUUUUUUCAGACUAUAAAAUUAUGCAUAUUAAAAUAUUAUAUACUCUUUUAGUCAAUGAUACAAUAAUCACCAACUUAUUACCUUCAACCAAGACAUUUGUAUAAUCUAAAUAAGAUAUGACAUUUUUUUUGCAAUGCCCUCUAUAAAACAUACCAGGUCAUUAGCAUACACCAAAAAAAGAAAAGGACCUAGGAUAAAGCCCUGAGGCACACCCUUGAUUAUUAGGCAAGACUUGCUACUCUCAUUAUUAAUUGUAACAAUCUGGCUUUUAUUCUGAAAAUAGGAUGCCAAUGAUGAUCCUCUAACACCAUACCUAAAAAAUUUAUAAAGUAAAAUGUCCACAAAAUCAAAAAUCCAAAAAUCCACAAAAUCAAAAGUAAAAUCUAUAAAUAAUCGGAGAAUAUGUUUUCUCUUGUCAAUUGCCGCCACAACCUGAUUUUGAAAUUGGCACUGUUUCUGUACUUUUAGACAGGGUAAAACCAUACUGAGCAGAGUUUAAUAAUCCAUACUUUGUAAAAUAAGAAAAUAAUUAAUUUUUUAUAUGCAACUCAAGAACUUUUGAAAAACUAGACAACAGACUUAUAGCUCGAUAAUUUGUGUAGUCAUUGGGAUUCCCCUUCUUAAACAGAGGCAUUACUUUAGCUACUUUUAAUUUAUCAGGAAAAAUUGCUCUCGCCAAACACAAAUUUAUAAUAAGCGCUAAAACAUCACAAUACAGUGCUAGAACAAACUGGUGGCAUGAAAAAAUAAUUGUAUCUAAAGACAUAAUUGUACUUAAAGACAUAAUUUCAACAAACUUGUAAAAUGUUUGUUGAAAUUAUUGGCCGCUUGUUUACUAGGAAGCCUUAGAUUGUUUUUAACUAUCUCAACGGCAGCACAUUUUUUAUUGUUUGUUUGCAAGUUGGGAAUAAUUGGCUACACAGUUUUAAAUUUAUUUGCAGCUCCAAAAAUCUUUUUAUCAUUUUGUUCCCUUAAACAUAUUUUUGGGUUUUCUUUUUAUAUGUUGGUUGAAUUUUGACAUAUUGCCCUAUAGUUCGAGUCAUGACUAAAAAUAUCAUUUUAGAAAGAUACUUUUUCUCUUAAUCUCAUUAAUUCAGAAUUUAAUUUACGUUUUUUACUUUUAUUUUCAUUAUUUAAUUUUUUUUACCAUCAACGGGAAUCACAUCUUAUAAUAGUAACAGAAUAUAUAAAAAAAGGAUCAACCGCAGUGUUAGGGCAUGUUUGCAUAUAAACAUUGUGCCAGUCAUUUUCUUCGAUUCGUCGGAUUAAAAUUCGAAGAUCGAUUCUUCAGAAAUUCACAAUUCUUUUGUCUAUCCCGCUAAAUUAUGUAUCUUUUGCUGUCAGCAAAUGCUCUACAAAUGUAUUUGUUAUUAUUUGAUUUUCUACUAAUAAUGAUAGCUAUUAUUAUUUAUGAAUAUUAGAAAUAUACCAGGUUUGAACCGUAAUGGGAGAAGGGGCGCGCUGUUACGGGGGCAAGUUGUUACGGUAAAAUUUUACAUGGUAGGCAACUAACACAGCUAGCCUAUAUUUUGCUGGAUCUUCGCCCUACCGACCCGCCAUCUAUGUGCCAACGUGGUUACCUCGGCGUCACAUGACGUUGAUAUUGUGUUUAAUGUGUUUUUGGAUGCAAAAUUGUACCGGUGUGUGCCUACUUUUGUGCUUUAUUGUGCGAAAUUGAUAUGUAAAUAUGGUGCGCAUGUUUGUCGAGAAAACCACGAGAGGGGAUAUUCCAACCGAACAAUUUGAGAGGGCGGCACAAUUGGUGUUACAGGAAAAAGUGUUAAUUAGGGACGCCGCUGCUCGAUAGGCAGUAAAUUUUAUGAAUUUUUUUUUUAGAAAGUCUGCGGUAACUACUAUUAAUACCGACACUAAUAAACGCUUAGUCGGUUACGCUAAACACAGAAAAAUAUUCAACGAUGCAGAGGAAAAAGAACUUGCGGAAUACAUCGAGCAUUCUGCUAAAAUUUAUUAUGGGCUCACUACAUCUGAUUUACGGAAGCUUGCUUUCCAGUUUGCAACGGCAAAUAAUAUAUCUAUUCCGAUAACUGGAAGGAAAAGAAUAUAGCGUCAAAGGACUGGCUAUUUGGGUUUUUAAAAAGGCACCAGACCUUGUCAGUCAGAACACCUGAGGCUACUAGCAUAGGCCGUGCUACUGCCUUUAAUCGCCAUAAUGUGUUACAAUUUUUCAAUAACCUUGGCCAAGUUUACGAUAAAUAUAAAUUCCAGCUUCAAGAUGUCUAUAAUAUGGACGAGACUGGACUUACUACUGUCCAAAGGCCUACAAAAAUCAAGCAAACCUUACCCAAAAACAAUGGCAAGAAAAUUGAAAGGAGGUCGGAAGAAAAGAGUUUCUGCAAUUUUGAUAGACACGGACAAGGGCAAUCUAAGGAAAAAAAUAUUUUAACAAAACCAAAAUCAGACUCUGAGAGCUCGGAAGAGGAGUCGACAUAUCUAAUUUGUUUAACUCCAUUUUCCGAAUCGAGAAACGAACAGUGGAUCCAAUGCACUGCUUGUAAAAGAUGGGCACAUGUUGCUUGUGGCGACGAUAAUGAUUUUUAUGUUUGUAUUCACUGUUGCUCCGAUACGGACUAGUUUAAGCUGUUUGAUUUUAUUAUAUUUUGAACAACACUUUUAUUUCUUUUGUGUAACUGUUUUUUGAAAUGUUCCUUGACAAUAAAUGUUAAUUCCACGUCA